rnacentral:rRNA from 1 species
UCGGGCUUAGCGGCGGACGGGUGAGUAACGCGUGGGAACGUGCCCAUUCCUGCGGAAUAGGCCCUGGAAACGGGGUUUAAUACCGCAUACGCCCUUCGGGGGAAAGAAUUUCGGGGAUGGAUCGGCCCGCGUUGGAUUAGGUAGUUGGUGGGGUAAAAGCCUACCAAGCCGACGAUCCAUAGCUGGUUUUAGAGGAUGAUCAGCCACACUGGGACUGAGACACGGCCCAGACUCCUACGGGAGGCAGCAGUGGGGAAUCUUAGACAAUGGGGGCAACCCUGAUCUAGCCAUGCCGCGUGAGUGAUGAAGGUCUUAGGAUCGUAAAGCUCUUUCGCCGGGGAAGAUAAUGACGGUACCCGGUAAAGAAACCCCGGCUAACUCCGUGCCAGCAGCCGCGGUAAUACGGAGGGGGUUAGCGUUGUUCGGAAUUACUGGGCGUAAAGCGCACGUAGGCGGACUGGAAAGUUGGGGGUGAAAUCCCGGGGCUCAACCUCGGAACUGCCUCCAAAACUAUCAGUCUAGAGUUCGAGAGAGGUGAGUGGAAUUCCGAGUGUAGAGGUGAAAUUCGUAGAUAUUCGGAGGAACACCAGUGGCGAAGGCGGCUCACUGGCUCGAUACUGACGCUGAGGUGCGAAAGUGUGGGGAGCAAACAGGAUUAGAUACCCUGGUAGUCCACACCGUAAACGAUGAAUGCCAGACGUCGGCUCGCAUGCGGGUCGGUGUCACACCUAACGGAUUAAGCAUUCCGCC